rnacentral:tRNA from 1 species
UAGCUCAGCGGCAAAAGCACCUGCCUUGCAAGCAGGCGGUCCUGAGUUCGAUCCUUGG